rnacentral:rRNA from 1 species
CGUGUAGGCGGCCAGGCAAGUCAGAUGUGAAAGUCCCGGGCUCAACUCGGGAAGUGCAUUUGAAACUGCUUGGCUUGAGUAAGAGAGAGGAAAGUGGAAUUCCUGGUGUAGAGGUGAAAUUCGUAGAUAUCAGGAGGAACACCGGUGGCGAAGGCGGCUUUCUGGCUCUAUACUGACGCUGAGACGCGAAAGCGUGGGUAGCAAACAGGAUUAGAUACCCUGGUAGUCC